rnacentral:snoRNA from 1 species
UUCCAGCCAAUUUAGCCAACCGGGAAGGUCCCUUUCCCCGUGGGGUCUGGUGUGCAGUGGUUGCAAACAGCAGCCUUUUGCCUAUGUGGUUGCUCUAAGGGAAGCUGGAAAGAAUU